rnacentral:rRNA from 1 species
CCUACGGGUGGCAGCAGUGAGGAAUAUUGGUCAAUGGGCGCGAGCCUGAACCAGCCAAGCCGCGUGAGGGAUGAAGGUUCUAUGGAUCGUAAAUCUCUUUUAUAAGGGAAUACAGUGUGGGACGUGUCCUAUUUUGUAUGUACCUUAUGAAUAAGCAUCGGCUAACUCCGUGCCAGCAGCCGCGGUAAUACGGAGGGUGCGAGCGUUAAUCGGAAUUACUGGGCGUAAAGGGCUCGUAGGCGGUAUGUCAAGUCAAGGGUGAAAUCCCCGCGCUCAACGUGGGAACUGCCUUUGAAACUGGCAAACUGGAGUGUGAGAGAGGAUAGUGGAAUUCGAGGUGUAGGAGUGAAAUCCGUAGAUAUCUGGAGGAACAUCAGUGGCGAAGGCGACUAUCUGGCACAUAACUGACGCUGAGGAGCGAAAGCGUGGGUAGCAAACAGGAUUAGAUACCCGGGUAGUC